AGACCAAGCCUGCUCCUACAGGGCUUUUGCUGAGUGCUUUUGUAAUCAUUCUGCCUGCAAUGUUAUGGCGUUCAGUUUUCAUGUUGGAGAUGAUAUGGUUCUGGCAGCCUGAGAGCAUGUGGAGUGCGCUAUCCAAGCGAUUGCAGCCUGAAAGGGGGCACGUUGGGUCAGAGGACCUUUUGAAACGGACUGCAUGUUUUUGAUUGUAGAGGGUGCCUGUGCA
rnacentral:lncRNA from 1 species